CUCUGAUGAUACUGCAGCACCGUCGACGAUAUGUUAGGCCCAAGAGGUCAUGGCUGUAGUGAAGUGGCGCGAUCUCGGCUCACUGCAACCUCCGCCUCCCAGGUUCAAACAAUUUUCCUGCCUCAGCCUCUCAAGUAGCUGGAAUUACAGGCACUCGCCACCACGCCCGGCUAAUUUUUGUAUUUUUAGUAGAGACUGUAAUGCCUAAGCUUGUUUUUACUAACCUUGUUUUUAGACUCUCCCUCUUUCCUUUAAUCACCUAGCCUUAGUUCCACCUUAAUUGACUCUCCCUUAGCUAAGAGAGCCAGACAGACUCCAUCUUGGCUCUUUCACUGGCAGCGCCUUCCUCAAGGACUUAACUUGUGCAAACUGACUCCCAGCACAUCCAAGAAUGCAAUUCACUGAUAAGAUAAUGUGGCGAGCAAUAUCCGCAGUUCCCAGGAAUUCGCCUGAUUGAUAACGCCCAAAAAAAGCCCCGCGUCUAUCACCUUGUAAUAAUCUUAAAGCCUCUGCACCUAGAACUGUUUACUUUCCUGUAACCAUUUAUCCUUUUAACUUUUUUGCCUACUUUAUUUCUGUAAAAUUGUUUUAACUAGACCCCCCCCCUUUCUAAACCAAAGUAUAAAAGAAAAUCUAGCCCCUUCUUCAAGGCCGAAAGAACUUUAAGCGUAAGCCAUCUCUUAGCCGCCGGCUAAAUAAACAGACUUAAUUCGUCUCAAAAGUGUGGUGUUUUCUCUAACUCGCUCCCGU
rnacentral:lncRNA from 1 species